UUUAAUUAAUAAAAUUAAGACACACGGCUCAUAGGAAGAACGUCUAAACACCGUGCAGUGUUCCUCCUCAUAGACAUAUGUCUAUGGUCCUCCUCCUUCUUUCUGGAGUUUUUCUUGGCGGUUGGCACACAACGAAAAGGUGGACGCAUGACCCCAUCCACAUUAACGGGAUGGAUGUUAAACGUGUCUCCAGCUUCAAGUUCCUGGGAACCACCAUCUCAGAGGACCUGUCCUGGGUCCACAAACUCCUCCAGCCUGGUCAAGAAGGCUCACCAUCACCUCUUCUUCCUCAGGACACUGAAGAAGAACCAGUUGUCUUCAGCCAUCCUGGUGAACUUUUACUGGUGUGCGAUCGAGAACAUCCUGACCAGUUGCAUCACAGUCUGGUAUGGGAACUGCUAAGUGGCUGACCGCAAGGCACUGCAGAGGGUGGUGAAAACUGCCCAACGCAUCACAGGGACACCACUUCUUGACAAGGACAAGCAGAUUCAGGAACAGCUUUUUCCCUACAGCUGUCCCUUGCUGAACUCUGCCCUUUGACCCCCCCCCCCCCAACAAACACAUACACCACACAGACAGACUCCUCACCCCUCCUCAUCUCUACAUCUGACUGAUUUAUUUAUUUACAACAAGCAAAAAACAGUAAAUUUAUUACUUGCACUACUGUCUGUUCAUCCAGAAACACUGAAUAAUCAAUUUGCACACUCAAAUAUUUUAUAUGCACUUUACUGCAUUGCAAUAGGGUAAAUUAUGUUCAUAGUUCUGCCUAUAGGGUACAUACACUUUUACAUAAUCCAUCUGUAUAGUAUGUUCAUAGUACACCUAUCUGUAUAUCAUGCUGAUAGUAUUUAAAUCUUAAUACCAAGAUAAUAUAUAAUACUUAUAAUACUUAUAUAAUAAUAAAUAUAUAGAAAAAUUAUAACUGUCACAUCGACGUAUUCUCUUUUUGUGGCCUCCUUUGCAGCUUUGUCUGCCAUUUCAUUUCCUAUGAUUCCUAUAUGUGCUGGCACCCUCAAAAAUAUAACUACAAUGCCCAUCAUUUGAAUUCUAUAUAAUGUUUGUUGUAUUUCAAACAAAUAAUCUGCCCUGCUGUCUGAGUGACUGCUCUGUAGAUUGAUUAAUGAUGAAGAUGAAUCUGAACAAAUAAUAACUCUCAAUGGUCUUAUUUCCUCUAUCCACUGUACUGCUAACAGAAUAGCUAGCAUUUGUCCUGUGUAUACUGAUACAUUAUCGCUAAUCCACGUCACUAUUGUAAUAUUAAACUCUGGAGCAAUAAACGCUACUCCUAUCCUAUCCAAUAAACUCUUUGAUGCAUCUGUGUAAAUCUGGAUAUAACUGUAGUAACUUUUUUGAAUAAUGUGCUUGAUGUAGAUCCAUACACCACACAACCAUAAUCCAGAACUGAUCUAAUUAAUCUACAAUAAAUUGCUUUCAGUGCUA